rnacentral:rRNA from 1 species
UACGAAGGAUCCUAGCGUUGUCCGGAUUUACUGGGUUUAAAGGGAGCGUAGGCGGACUUUUAAGUCAGUGGUGAAAGCUUGCAGCUUAACUGUAAAAUUGCCAUUGAAACUGAAAGUCUCGAGUGCGGUUGAGGUCACUGGAAUGUAUCAUGUAGCGGUGAAAUGCUUAGAUAUGAUACAGAACACCGAUUGCGAAGGCAGCUCGCUGGGACGUCACUGACGCUGAGGCGCGAAAGCGUGGGGAGCGAACCGG